rnacentral:rRNA from 1 species
GAUGAACGCUGGCGGCGUGCCUAAUACAUGCAAGUCGAGCGAACAGACGAGGAGCUUGCUCCUCUGAUGUUAGCGGCGGACGGGUGAGUAACACGUGGAUAACCUACCUCUAAGACUGGGAUAACUUCGGGAAACCGGAGCUAAUACCGGAUAACAUGUUGAACCGCAUGGUUCAACAGUGAAAGACGGUCUUGCUGUCACUUAUAGAUGGAUCCGCGCCGCAUUAGCUAGUUGGUAAGGUAACGGCUUACCAAGGCAACGAUGCGUAGCCGACCUGAGAGGGUGGUCGGCCACACUGGAACUGAGAAAGAGUCCCGACUCCGACGGGAGGCAACAGUAGGGAAUCUUCCGCAAUGGGCGAAAGCCUAACGGAGCAACGCCGCGUGAGUGAAGAAGGAGUUCGGAUCGUAAAGCUCUGUUAGUAGGGAAGAACAAAUGUGUAAGUACCUAUGCACGUAUUGACGGUACCUAAUCAAAAAGCCACGGCUAACUACGUG